rnacentral:rRNA from 1 species
GAACGCUAGCGGCAGGCCUAACACAUGCAAGUCGAGGGGCAGCAUUUCUAGUUUACUAGGAGAUGGCGACCGGCGCACGGGUGAGUAACGCGUAUAGAAUCUGCCCUUUACUGGGGAAUAGCCCGAAGAAAUUUGGAUCAAUGCCCCAUGGUCCCUUAUUGUGGAUUCACGAUUAGGGUAAAGGUUACGGUAAAGGAUGACUAUGCGUCCCAUUAGUUAGUUGGUAGGGUAACGGCCUACCAAGACUGCGAUGGGUAGGGGCCCUGAGAGGGGGAUCCCCCACACUGGUACUGAGACACGGACCAGACUCCUACGGGAGGCAGCAGUGAG